rnacentral:rRNA from 1 species
AGCUCCAAUAGCGUAUAUUAAAGUUGCUGCGGUUAAAAAGCUCGUAGUUGGAUCUCAGUUACGGGCAGGUGGUUCACCUCACGGUGCUACUACCUGGUCCGGACCUAUUGCUGGUGCCCCCUAGGUGCCCUUCGCUGGGUGCCUGGGGAGACCAGAGCGUUUACUUUGAAAAAAUUGGAGUGCUCAAAGCAGGCGAACGCCUGAACAGUCGUGCAUGGAAUAAUGGAAAAGGGCCUCGGUGCUAUUUUGUUGGUUCUCGGUACUCGAGGUAAUGGUUGAAGGGGACAGACGGGGGCAUUCGUAUUGCGACGUUAGAGGUGAAAUUCUUAGAUCGUCGCAAGACGGACUACUGCGAAAGCAUUUGCCAAGAAUGUUUUCA